rnacentral:rRNA from 1 species
UGCCAGCCGCCGCGGUAAUACGGAGGGUGCAAGCGUUAUCCGGAUUCACUGGGUUUAAAGGGUGCGUAGGCGGGUAGGUAAGUCAGAGGUGAAAUCCUGGAGCUUAACUCCAGAACUGCCUUUGAUACUAUCUAUCUUGAAUAUGGUGGAGGUAAGCGGAAUAUGUCAUGUAGCGGCGAAAUGCAUAGAUAUUACUUAGAACACCAAUUGCGAAGGCAGGUCACUAAGUCUUAACUGACGCUGAUGGACGAAAGCGUGGGGAGCGAACAGGAUUAGAUA